rnacentral:rRNA from 1 species
GACGAACGCUGGCGGCGUGCUUAACACAUGCAAGUCGAACGGAAAGGCCCUGCUUUUGUGGGGUGCUCGAGUGGCGAACGGGUGAGUAACACGUGAGUAACCUGCCCUUGACUUUGGGAUAACUUCAGGAAACUGGGGCUAUACCGGAUAGGAGCUCCUGCUGCAUGGUGGGGGUUGGAAAGUUUCGGCGGUUGGGGAUGGACUCGCGGCUUAUCAGCUUGUUGGUGGGGUAGUGGCUUACCAAGGCUUUGACGGGUAGCCGGCCUGAGAGGGUGACCGGCCACAUUGGGACUGAGAUACGGCCCAGACUCCUACGGGAGGCAGCAGUGGGGAAUAUUGCACAAUCGGCGGAAGCCUGAUGCAGCAACGCCGCGUGCGGGAUGACGGCCUUCGGGUUGUAAACCGCUUUCGCCUGUGACGAAGCGUGAGUGACGGUAAUGGGUAAAGAAGCACCGGCUAACUACGUG